rnacentral:rRNA from 1 species
AUUGAACGCUGGCGGCAGGCCUAACACAUGCAAGUCGAACGAGUGGCGGACGGGUGAGUAAUGUCUGGGAAACUGCCUGAUGGAGGGGGAUAACUACUGGAAACGGUAGCUAAUACCGCAUACCAUCAGAUGUGCCCAGAUGGGAUUAGCUUGUUGGUGGGGUAACGGCUCACCAAGGCGACGAUCCCUAGCUGGUCUGAGAGGAGGACCAGUCAAAGUGGAACUAGGACACGGUCCAGACUCCGACGGGAGGCAGCAGUGGGGAAUAUUGCACAAUGGGCUCAAGCCGGAUGCAUACAUGCCGCGUGUAUGAAGAAGGCGUUCGGGUUGUAAAGUACGUUCAGCGGGGAGGCGUUACCCGCAGAAGAAGCACCGGCUAACGCCGUGCCAGAAGCCGAGGUAAUAC